rnacentral:rRNA from 1 species
UACGAAGGGGGCUAGCGUUGUUCGGCCUUACUGGGCGUAAAGGGCGCGUCGGCGGCGCGUUAAGUCAGGUGUGAAAGCCCUGGGCUCAACCCAGGAAUUGCACUUGAUACUGACGUGCUUGAAUCCGGAAGAGGAUGACGGAAUUCCCAGUGUAGAGGUGAAAUUCAUUGAUAUUGGGAAGAACACCAGUGGCGAAGGCGGUCAUCUGGUCCGGUAUUGACGCUGAGGCGCGAAAGCGUGGGGAGCAAACAGG